rnacentral:rRNA from 1 species
GAUGAACGCUGGCGGCGUGCCUAAUACAUGCAAGUCGAGCGAACAGACGAGGAGCUUGCUCCUCUGACGUUAGCGGCGGACGGGUGAGUAACACGUGGAUAACCUACCUAUAAGACUGGGAUAACUUCGGGAAACCGGAGCUAAUACCGGAUAAUAUAUUGAACCGCAUGGUUCAAUAGUGAAAGACGGUUUUGCUGUCACUUAUAGAUGGAUCCGCGCCGCAUUAGCUAGUUGGUAAGGUAACGGCUUACCAAGGCGACGAUGCGUAGCCGACCUGAGAGGGGGAGGGGCCCCACUGGAACGGAAACCGGGACAAGAGCCAGAGGGGGGCGGGAGGAAGGAGUAGGUCAGAAUGGGGCAAGGGCGGAACGAAGAAACGGCGAGGGAGGGAGAAGGGUGUUGGAAUGUUAGACCUGUUUUAUUGGGGAACAAAAAAUAAAAAAGAACUUAGCCGCGUCUUGAGGGUAACUAAUCAAAAAGCCACGGCUAACUACGUG